ensembl:rRNA 5S_rRNA 5S ribosomal RNA
GCUGGCAGCUAGUUCUCUGCAAUUCUCACAUGGUCGCCCACUGAAGCCAAGCCGGGCUGCGCCUGGUCAGUACCUGGAUGGGAGACCACAUGGGAAAGCUGGAUUGCUGCUGGAA